rnacentral:rRNA from 1 species
AUGCACACCGUCGCGGAGGCCACCGGCGGCACCUUCUCCUUCAUCGAGAAAGAGGCUGUCAUCCAGGACUCAUUCGCGCAGUGCAUCGGUGGGCUUCUGUCGGUCAUCGUGCAGGAGGCGCGUGUUGCCGUCGAGUGCGUCUGUCCUGGCGUUCACGUUCGGUCCAUCAAGUCAGGACGUUACAAGAGCCGCGUCGAUGCUGAAGGACGCACCACCGCGGUGGACGUCGGCGAGCUCUAUGCCAACGAGGAGAGGCGCUUCCUGCUGUCAGUGGACGUGCCAACGGCCGGCGCCACGGACGACGUCACGUCCCUGAUGAAGGUGAGCUGCACAUACCGCGACAUCGCGACCGGGCAGUCGGUGGAUGUGGCCGGUGAGGACGUGGCGGUGAAGAGACCGGUGGAGGCGAUGGAGGUAGUGCUAGACAUGGACGUCGAGCGGGCGCGGCUCUGCGUGGUGGCCACCAAGGACAUCGUGGCCGCACAACCAGUGGCUGAGCGUGGCGAGCACACGGAAGCCUCAAAGAUACUCCGCAGUCAGGGCAAGGCGUUGAAGCAGUCGUGGCCUGGCGCGAGCACCGACACUACGUGCGCGGAGCUCUCGUCGGAGCUGGGCGAACUGAGCGAGCGCGGCACGCGUCCUUGUUGUCCGGCAUGA